UACGGAGGGGGCUAGCGUUGUUCGGAAUUACUGGGCGUAAAGCGCACGUAGGCGGCGAUCUAAGUCAGAGGUGAAAGCCCGGGGCUCAACCCCGGAAUAGCCUUUGAGACUGGAUUGCUAGAAUCCGGGAGAGGUGAGUGGAAUUCCGAGUGUAGAGGUGAAAUUCGUAGAUAUUCGGAAGAACACCAGUGGCGAAGGCGACUACCUGGACUGAUACUGACACUGAGGUGCGAAAGCGUGGGGAGCAAACAGGAUUAGAAACCCUUGUAGU
rnacentral:rRNA from 1 species